rnacentral:Y_RNA from 1 species
GGCUGGACCCAGUGCAGGGAGGUGCACAACUAAUUGAUCAUAACCAAUUACAGAUCUCUUUGUUCUUUCUCCAUUCCCACUGUUCUACUCGACUAGCCUUAA